GAUGAACGCUGGCGGCGUGCCUAAUACAUGCAAGUCGAGCGAACAGACGAGGAGCUUGCUCCUCUGACGUUAGCGGCGGACGGGUGAGUAACACGUGGAUAACCUCCCUAUAAGACUGGGAUAACUUCGGGAAACCGGAGCUAAUCCCGGAUAAUAUAUUGAACCGCAUGGUUCAAUGGUGAAAGACGGUUUUGCUGUCACUUAUAGAUGGAUCCCGGCCGCAUUAGCUAGUUGGUACGGUAACGGCUUACCAAGGCGACGAUGCGUAGCCGACCGGAGGGGGUGAUCGCCCACACGGGAGCGGGGACACGGACCAUGCGACUACGGGAGGCAGCAGUCGGGAAUGGGAGGCAACAGGCGGAAGCCUGACGCAGCAAGGCCGAGCGUGUGAUGAAGGCCCCGGGAUCGUAAUGCUCUGUUACGAGUGAUGAACCAAUGUGUACGUAACUAUGGACUGCUUGACGGUACCUAAUCAGGAAGCAACGGCUAACUACGUG
rnacentral:rRNA from 1 species